AGGUCAAAGAGCAAGAACAGUUGG
rnacentral:piRNA from 1 species